UGCCAGCAGCCGCGGUAAGACGAAGGUGGCAAGCGUUGUUCGGAAUCACUGGGCAUAAAGCGCGCGUAGGCGGUCCGCUAAGUUGGAUGUGAAAGCCCUCGGCCCAACCGAGGAAUUGCGUCCAAAACUGGUGGACUUGAGGACCGGAGAGGUGUAUAGAAUUCCUGGUGGAGCGGUGAAAUGCGUAGAUAUGUGGAGGAAUACCGGUGGCGAAGGCGGCCUCCUGGCUCGACACUGACGCUGAGGUGCGAAAGCGUGGGGAGCAAACAGGAUUAGAUA
rnacentral:rRNA from 1 species